UGCAAGUCGAGUGGGUUUAGACCCACGGCGAACGGCUGCGUAACACAUGGGUACCUACCCCGAACUCAGGAAUAACCCGCCGAAAGGCGGGCUAAUGCCGGAUAGUCCCGCAAGGGUAAAGCUUUUGCGGUUCGGGAGGGGCCUGUGGCCUAUCAGUUAGUUGGUGAGGUAAUGGCUCACCAAGACGAUGACGGGUAGCUGGUCUGAGAGGACGACCAGCCAGAAUGGAACUGAGACACGGUCCAUACUCCUACGGGAGGCAGCAGUUAGGAAUCUUCCACAAUGGGCGAAAGCCUGAUGGAGCGACACCGCGUGAAGAAUGAAGCCUUUAAUUAGGUGUAAACUUCUGUUAUGAGGGACGAAAUUUUUGACGGUACCUCAUGAGAAAGCACCGGCUAAUUCUGUGCCAGCAGCCGCGGUAAGACAGAAGGUGCAAGCGUUACUCGGAAUUACUGGGCGUAAAGCGUCUGUAGGUUUCCUUCCACGUCUGGAUUUAAAUUGCGGAGCUCAACUCCGCAUCUGAUCUGGAAACGAGAGGGAUCGAGUCAUUCAGAGGCAUCUGGAAUGUCAUGUGUAGGGGUAAAAUCCGUAGAUACAUGAUGGAACGCCAAGAGCGAAGGCAGGAUGCUAGGAAUGUACUGACACUCAGAGACGAAAGCGUGGGGAGCAAAGGGGAUUAGAUACCCCCGUAGUCCACGCCCUCAACGAUGCGAGCUCGGUGUAGGGAUUUCAAUCUGUCCCUGUGCCUUAGCUUACGCGGUAAGCUCGCCGCCUGGGAAGUACGGCCGCAAGGCUAAAACUCAAAGGAAUAGACGGGGACCCACACAAGCGGUGGAGCAUGGGGUUUUAAUUCGAUGACAAGCGAAGCACCUCACCCAGACUUGACAUGUUAGGAAUCCCGCCGAAAGGUGGGAGUGCCGCAAAGAACCUAAACACAGGCGCUGCACGGUCGUCGUCAGCUCGUGCCUUGAGUGUACUGUUCAGUCAGCCAACGAGCGCCACCCUUGAAUCCUAUGGUUGCUAUUUU
rnacentral:rRNA from 1 species